GCAGGAGGAUACGGUACUGGAGUGUAAACCAGAGAGUGCUUUCCCUGUUCCCAAGAAUGUGUCUAUACCUAGGACUGAAGGUGUCCUACAACGUCACAAGCAUGGAGACUAAAAGGAAAGAGUGUUGUGGGUUGCCUUAGCUUAUAGAUGUUGAGAUAUCAAGAGGCAGGAACUGGAGUUAGCAGAGCAAAUGGAGCCCCUACACCCCUGUGAGUUCACACACUGCAGCACUUAAGUGAGACAUGAAGACAUUUCAUGGAGUGAUAAC
rnacentral:lncRNA from 1 species